rnacentral:tRNA from 1 species
GGGCGGAUGGUUUAGUGGUAUAAUACUCCCUUAGCAUGAUAUCUGGGAGUGGUCCGGGGUUCGAUUCCCCGUCUGUCCA